rnacentral:sRNA from 1 species
AGCAAUAGAAAUGAUGGUCAAAGCUCAUGGAUGUUGCAGGCUUUUUUGUCCUGCACUUCUUUGUAGUUUUGACUGUUUUU